UUCUUGGAUCGUCGCAAGACGAACUGCAGCGAAAGCGUUUGCCAAGUAUGUUUUCUUUAAUCAAGAACGAAAGUUAGAGGUUCGAAGGCGAUCAGAUACCGCCCUAGUUCUAACCAUAAACUAUGCCAUCUAGCGAUCCGCUGUGUGUCUUAGAUGUCACGGCGGGCAGCCCUCGGGAAACCAAAGAUUUUGGGUUCCGGGGGAAGUAUGGUUGCAAAGCUGAAACUUAAAGGAAUUGACGGAAGGGCACCACCAGCAGUGGAGCCUGCGGCUUAAUUUGACUCAACGCGGGGUAUCCUACUAGGCCCGGACACUCGAAGGAUUGACAGAUUGAGAGCUCUUUCUUGAUUGGGUGCGUGGUGGUGCAUGGCCGUUCUUCGUUGGUGAGGUGACUUGUCUGCUUAAUUGCGAUAACGAACGAGACUCUAGCCUGCUAACUAGUCGAUUCUGGCAUCCGUUGUGCAGCCGGCGACUAUCCAUCUUCUUAGAGGGACAGGUGGUGUAUAGCCACACGAGAAUGAGCAAUAACAGGUCUGUGAUGCCCUUAGAUGUCCUGGGCCGCACGCGCGCUACACUGAAGGGAUCAGCGUGUGUUUUCCUAGUCCGACAGGACCGGGUAACCCGUUGAACCUCCUUCGUGCUAGGGAUUGGGGCUUGAAAUUAUUCCCCACGAACGAGGAAUUCCUAGUAAGCGCGAGUCAUAACCUCGCGUUGAUUAUGUCCCUGCCCUUUGUCCACACCGCCCGUCGCUACUACCGAUUGAAUGAUUUAGUGAGGUCUUCGGACUAGUGCGCGGUUUUCGGAAAAUUUUUUUCGGAAACCGAUGCUACCAGAAAGAUGACCGAACUUGAUUAUUU
rnacentral:rRNA from 1 species